AGAGUCCUUAGUGAGCAAGAACUGAGCGUCUUCCAAGUCGUAAUGAUCCUCACUUGUUCACUCUCUCACAAACAGAAUCCCUUUGGCCAGCAGCCAGGGCUGCAAUAAGGGCCAGGCACAUACAAGGGCAGCUUAAAAGCACCUCAGCUUUGGGAAAUCCUGCUGGGCUGUAAAAAGCUGCCCACAAACCCAAAUCAAGCAAGGCUUGUCUGAUAAUUCUUUGGCAUAAUCCCCAAACUUGCUGAACAGCUUUUCCCUACAAAGUAUUUCCAGGUGGGUUAUUAGGGCCUGUAUCCCUUCCAUCUUGUAUCCUCUCGUGGUUGAAAAAGGCAUUCUUCAGAGCAGGCUAUUUUUUAAAGGAAGACAAAUAUCCUCCUUUACAUCUCUGGUUCCUGUAAACCAGAAAGAUACUUUGCAGGAUGCAAACUCUUCCUGCCACAGCUCACAGGUCUCACCUCCCCACAGUGCUCGUACAGGACUUUCAGUUACAGAGAUCAUUUGUACUUUCCCAAGGAGGCUGGUACUGGUUCAAGUAGCAGCAUGCACGCUCAGUGCUAGCAUGAAGGUGCUAUACUCUGUUAAACUAGUUUUCUUUCCUGUGUUUUUAUAGCAGUACCACUGUAGCCACAUUUGGGUCUGUGCUACUUUAAUCAUACUGGAGUAGUUAAAAGGAAACAGCUGAGCUGAGCAUGUCCUGCAGCUCAGAGUCCUGUGGCUUGGGGUAGGAGGAGGCAGGGUCCUGGGCCCAAGUAGCCCUUCCAGCUUUGAGUGGGCAUGCACAAUUCAUCAGUAAGGCUGAGCCUUGCCAGGAGAACCUGUGUCUCCAUGAGGCCUUCCCUGCUGCUGUAACACAGCAAAGCUUUGGUUGCUUUCUGCCAGGGGAAGGCUGGUUUGCUGUGAUCCCUGCAAGGAGAGAGGCAGGCAGACAGGCAGCUUGCUGACCUGCUGUUAUUUUUUCUCAUUGCAAUAAUCUGUGGCUGCUGUGAAUGGGAUUAUAGAAAAUGAGUCCCCAGUGUAAGACUUGCAGAUGUAUAGAUAUCGUAGGAGAGAAGCAGGAAAAGAAAUUACAGAGUUUUCCUUUGGAACCUGUCAGUGCAACAAACUGGUUCCUUUGCUGGGGUCUGUGCCACCGCAGAACACGAAGAGAGCUGGAGAUGGAACGGCGCAGAACUCAAAAAGGUUUCUGUGAGUUAAAACACGCUGUUUCACUUUGAGACACUUCAGGAUGGGAUGAUUUGAAAGUACAUGGUGUGUCUGAAAAAAAAUAACCAGCUGUGGUGGUAAAAUCCAACCAGGCAGCUAAAGAUCUGUUUUGAAGCUGGUCUGCCAGCGAGGCCUUGCUCUCCAGGGAGGUCUAAAUCACCGUGGGCUGAAGGACGCAGGAGGCAACCUGGAUUCCUUUCCUACCGCUGCCUGAAAGAGGCCGGUACUGCUCCCAGCUGCAGCGAGGCUGAGAAGGCCGCAGCGCAGGCGUAGUGCCUUGGCGUGACUCAGGGCCUUCUCCACUCUGACUUCCUUCCAGCAUCCCCUCCCCAGGCUGGAAUCUCAACGCCUCCCACUCUGAGAAUUUUUUUUUUUCCCUCAGCACAGCACAACCCAGCCUGUUCCUGCUGGUGGCCAGUCAGCUGUGCCGAGCACUGCUGCUGCCACUCACACCUGUGUCAGGCAGUGAGCAGCACUCCUGCUUUAACCCAGCUCAGGUGGGGAAACCUGGUGAGACAAACCAUAGCUACCCGGGCUGUGAGGUGCUGGGAAAAAAGAGCAUCCUGGACAGCCCUGGCAAAGCUAGAGAGCUCUGUGCUCAAGGGGGUCAACAAGAGCAAAGGCAGGAGGUGCUGCAAAGACGUUAUUUUCCCUCAUAGCAAAUAGCAGAAAGCUCCACCCAAGUUUCACUUCUCAUUCCCAUUUUGUAUCAAAAAUAAACAAACAAACAAAAAUCAACGCUUGCUACUGUGCAUUGCCCUUGUUGCCAUGUGAUCUGGGGAUGGGAUUAUGUUGUUGAUAACUUGGUUCUUUUAUAGAAUCAGAUCCAUAGGUGCUGUAGGAGCCUGCGCAACUUGUCGGAGCAAUUCUCUCCCCUGGCAAGUCACACAAGAGGCAGAGCUUCUCCCUGCUCCACGCUGCCCUGCGGAUCUCUGCCUCCCCCUGCAAGGAUGACUCCUCCUCACCAUCCUCUUGCAAAGCACCAGCUGUACUCAUUUUUAGGAAAGCGGGCGGAAUUCCUCAUAGCUGCACUGUGGAAUGCUGUGCGACACCUCAAUGAUGAGACAAAUGACAGAAGCAUAGAUCAUUGUAGUUGGAGAAGACCUUCAAGAUCAUCACGUCCAAGUGCCGACCCAUCCCCACCAUGCUCACUGACCAUGUCCUGUGCCAUGUUCACACGGUUCUUGUACACCUCCAGGGAUGGAUUCUGAUGAACUUCUGCUGUGAACUAUUUCCUGUGGAUAACAUGCAGAAGAAGCAGAGUCCCCCAGCAUGCCUGACUGAUGUGUACUGCCCACAGCUGCCACGCCGUGUAACCAGGAACCAACUCCAGACUGUGGUAUGCAGUGGGAUAGCUUGAACGCAGCAGUUCUAGGAGGGUUAAAAAUUAAACCAGCAAUCAAGAUCUAAAGCGGCGCUGGGUUUAAAAGACUGGCAAGGUUCAGCUGUGAGUCAAUUCAUUAGUUGCAGUUAAUAUUGCUAGAAGAGCUUGACAAAAGGAAACACGAAGCAACUGAAAAGAAACAUCCUUAAGGUGAAUGUCAAAGUUUUUGCAUCCAGCAAAGAAACGAAAAGCUGAAUACAGAAGAGAAAGCACUGGUUCCCAUUGAGUGGUUACAGAGGAAACAAUCGUACUACUACAGAGACCUGACUAGAGAAUGAAUCUCAUGACUGGCUUAUCUCCUCCAGGACUGGUGAGAAACCCAAAGUAGCUACAGUGUCUGUUCAGACUUGCACAUAGAAGGCUCUGUUCCAUCAGGGUACACUGAAAUGCUGGGUUUGUGUAGCAGUGGUGAUUUCCAGUUUUCUUGAAUCCCAUUGUCUGUUCAGCACCCACUUAGGAGCAAAGAAGGAGCUUCUGCAUCUGUGCAUCUGGUGUGACCUACACAGUGCAGCCAUGGGCUCCUGCUGCCCUGGAAGCAGCCUUCCAAAGAAACAGUUCCAGCACAUUCUCCUAGGCAAAUAGUUAAUUAUCAACACUAACAAGUGAGUUUCACAUUUCUAUGUCCACUGUACAUACAUCUCGGUCUCCCAGGUGUCUUGUCCAGAUGGGGUGUGGAUCCUCAGCCAUUGGCAUUCCAGGCAGUAGAUGCAGGCAGUGGGUCGCAUGGUGUGGGGCUCAGCUCCAGUGGUUGUCCCCCUGAGGCACUGUUUCCCUUCUCUUCCUCCUUUUGGAAAUGUGGUAAGAAAUGGCCACUGUUUGGGAUAAUCUUUGGCAGCACCUCCUGUCCCUGCUGUAGCUGCACCUUCCUACCUCUGGAUCGCAGCGCGUUAUUUGUAUGCUAAGCAGAGAACUCCCCCACUUAGGAUUUAUAUUUAUUUGGUGUUUUUUCUAAGCAGUAAUGAUAGGUCAGCAGGCAGGAAAUAUUUUAGCUGGCUUUGCCAUUAAGAGCCUUUUUUAUGCAAUCAAGUGUCAAGGUGCUGCUUUGGGAGAGCGUGGGGAACUGUCCUGACACCACCACUGCCAGAGGCCCUGAUUUGCAGCAGCGGGAUCUGCAGGAGCAGGAGCAUCAUACCCCUGUGCUGGAGCUCAGCCAGGCUGCCUGCAGGCAUCACAUACAGGGCAGUGGCUGCCUGUCCCCCUCAGGAGCUGGGAGAUGGUGUCACCUGCCCACAGAGCACUCAGCACUGCUCACAUUGGACAUGGGUGUUUUCAUAACUGGGAUGAAGAAACAGAUGCCUUUUCUUGCUCUAGAGAGAUUAUUUCUUCUGUGCCACUAGCCUGAGAUUGUUUGCUUGGCUUAGCCUGUGUUUUCACCAUAUGCAACAAGCCUUAACCACUUCAUUUGGGGCUGCUAUUCAUUUGGGGCCAAUAUGAAACAUUUCUGGCUUUUUUUUUUCAUUUUUCUGGCCCAUACAUGUUGCUAAUCUAUCCCCUUGUCUACAUACUCUUUCUUCUCCAACAUUUCAGGUUUCCUGCCUUGUAAUAUUUCAAAUCCUUGACUGCUUGCUGCUGCAGAUGGAGUAUUGGUUACCCUCCAUCAUCGGUCUGGCUGCGAAGACUUCCUGUGCUUGACAAGUUGAUUACUUCGUCAAGGUGAAUGUUCAGUCGAGUCUGUCUGGAGGACCUCUGUGUGUCUGAUGCCAGCUGGUUUCUCACCAGACGCACUGUUUCACCAGGCACAGAAUAAUAUGAGGAGAAAAAAUGGGAUUUUGAGGGGCUUUUUUCCCCACUCCCUUUUUGAGGUUGGUGUUGCUCCAGUUUAUCCCAGUAGGAUGUAGGUGGAUAACUCUCUAAAUGCAGCCAUCUUCUAUAUGGAGAGCAAACCUCUCUGAUGAAAUGCCGCUGUCCUUUAUAUGUGGUUUUCCCUGCCUUUAGGAUCCCCAAAAGAGGUUAGAUAGCUUGGAAGCUGUGGCAUUAACAGUGCUUUCAUAUUGUCCAUUGUGUAUCAUCAAGGAAGCGCAGUAAAACCCAAAUAAAUUAAAUGAAUUUCAUUGCAGUUCCUGAGGGAGAGCAGGAUGCUUUACUUGUGAGUUUCAAGUCAGGUCAGGAGGGUUGGAUCUCCACAGAGAAACUGCUGACACAGGCCCAGAAAUGUCAUUAGUAAGGUAAAGAAAAACAUCCAAACUUCUCUUAAUAGUCCUUUGUGAAUACUUUAUAGGAAGUGGCAUCCAGACAACAAUAGGUAUUAAGAAAUUGGGAAAUAACAGUAAACAGCACAAAGUAAACAGCACAGAGAAAACUGUGUGUGCUUUCUGAGAAGGUAAGGAAACUGCAUCACAAUGCUGAGUGCUUCAGGAGAGAAAAUUCUCAUAACUUCCAUAGCCAAACAUUGCUUGGGACCAGGGCGUGAAUGACUCCUCUGUGCUACUGCUGAGAGGGUGUUGCAACUUCUUGGCAGGUUACAGAAAAUAGAAUGUUGGCCAGCUUCAUUAUCUGGUGGUACAGGAACAUUUGUUUCUCUAGCCACAUGUGGCUGUGUCUGACCAUCUUGGGUAUCCAAGCAGGGAGUUCAAAGGAAAACCCUGUAGGCUUGGUUUUCAAAGGGACUUAUUUCCAGUAAGUGUGAACCUUGUUUCUAAAAGGAGAGAAAUCCUUGUUUACUCUUCUAGGAACUCAUAUUUCUGACAUAUUGUAGCAGAAAUAAUAAGCAAAAGCAUACUACAGUGGUGAGGUGAAUCCAGGGAGCAUGGCAACUGCUGCCAGACCAGCAUCUGCAGCCAAACCAGCCCCUGGUGCAUCAUGAGCACCGUCCCUGGCAGAUGUGGUCCUGGGGUUACUGUCCUCAACAGAUCCCAUAUUAACACCUCAGUGAGGAGAAGAAUCAUAGAAUCACAGAAUAUCCUGAAUUGAAAGAGGCCUACAAGGACCAUCAGCUUAACUCCUGGCUUCGCAUAGGAACACACAAAAUUGAAAUCCUAUGUCUGCAACUGUUGUCCAAACACUCCUCAAAUCCAGCAGCUGAGGCCAUGCCCACCGCCCUGAAGAGCCUCUUCCAUGCCCACCACCCUCCGGUAAAGAACCUUUUCCUAAAACCGAGGCUGACCCUCCUUCUGGUGCAGCUCCAUGCUGUUAAAGAACGAUGGAGUUUUUCCUGUGUCCCACCAUACCUGACAAGGCAAGGAUGUGUUGCAGUCCCUAUAAAUUGAGCUAUUUCAGACCGACUUUGUGCAAGAGUGGAAGAAGAGCAAUAUGUAGCCACUUUUAUCCCCUUGGAAAGGUAGAGGCAGGAGAGCAGGCUGCCAGACCUCCAGAGAAGCAAGGGUCUCCAUCAGGGCAUUUCCUAGCAGGAGGCAAGAAGAUCAUGCUUUCUCUCCUGUCAUUUAUUCCCUGAUGACUAUUUUCUUUGCUUCCUCCAGGCCCAGGGCCAGGAGGGCCAGCACUGGGAACACGUCCUGGUGCAUAGCCAGGGACGCAGCAGUGUCCUGCUGAGAGCAGUGGCCCGGGGCCGGGCACACAGCAUCCAGCCCUCCCCUGGAGACUGGUGUUUGCUGAGGGAUGCAAGGUAACCUCAGCAUUGAAAAUAGCUGGGACGUUGGCCAGCGAAGAUUAAUGGCAUCAUUAACAUCUCCAGUUUAUUUAUAGGUUUUAAAAAGUCUCCAACCUGUAAACAAAGCAGAGUUAUGCUGCGUAAUGCAGAGAAUCACAGGUUUACCUCCUUCCCACUCCUCUUAUUUCAUCCUUGUUGUUGAGACUGUAAAACCCCUGGGGCAGGACUGGCUCACUGCAAACUUACAUUAUAAACCUUCUCAAUGAGGGGGAUACGCACUGUUGUUUUUUUUUCCCAUGAAUGCCAUGUUUGUCUGGUCUCCUUUCUCCACUCAGCUCUUUCUGUGCUUUGUCCCGUGGCCCCUGUUACGGAAAAUUCUCUUUUUGAAGAAUUCCUGAGGCCCAGGUUGGGAAGUCAUCACAGGAAUUAGUGAUUUUCUGCCUUAGGCCUUAAGCUGCAAGCUUUGUGUGAGGAGGAUUGAGCAUCUUGUAGCUGUGGAGAGCACCUAGGCCGUGCAUGGCCCCAGUGAAGCGUGCAGAUGUUAUUAAUGACCCUGGGGUCUUCCUACAGGCACUCAGGGCCACUCAGUUCCCAGGUUCUCGAGAAACUUGAAGGGCUGUCAAGAAAAGAAAAAGCAUGUUGGCCCCAGAACAGGAGUUCUCAGCACGUGAGCUGCAGCCACACCACCUGGCCCAUCUCCAGGAGCUCAGGAGAAGGUAAGGUAGAAAGAGGGCCUGUUGGCAGCAGGCAGCAGGGAUCUGCUGCAGAGGUGUAUGGGUGGAGGGGGAAAGAAAAAUGUGAGAACAGGCCCCUCUAGGCACACAGUGAUCACAUUAUGAAGAUGUGUUUUGGAGGGCAACCACCGUUCGUUUUGCUGUUUGUGAUGUGUUAAUCUGAGUUGUACUCCCAUGGCUCUCUCUCCUGGGCCUUUUGUCUUCUAGGGGGUAAAAUAAAGAAUUGGCAGAGAAUUUCUCAAAUUGCUGUUGUCUUCUUUUCUUUGGGAAAUUAGAGUGCUUCAGGGCAGAGGAAAUGAGUCCGAAGUACUAGAAGUGACUGAAGGAGGGUUUCUAUGCCAUGGGCACCACAGAUGAAAUCAUGACCCUGGAAUCCCCUCGCCACCCAAACACUGGUGGGUUUGAGGCAUCUCAGUGCCUCGUGUUCCCCUUCUCCAAUUUCUCACUUGGGCUGUGAGCUCCAGCUCCUCUCCAUCCCCCCCAGUCAGGGCUCAGCUCUCUGCUGUGCUGGGGAGAUCGAGGCCUGUGCCUCAGUUUCUUUCUCUGUUAAAUGAGACCAUGGUGCUGACUGAGUUUCAUGAAGUCUUCCAAAGGACAAAACCUAAGUACAGUUAUUCAGUCAUCAAAAGACCAUGACUGGGAGAGUGUUUCCUUGUCUGAUAUGCUUGAGAUCCUGUGAAAUUCAAAAGGCUUCAAGGAAAAGGCAGCUCAUAUGCAGCAUCUGAGAUAAAGGAGGAGAAAAGGUGAUGUUUUAACUAUACUUAUCUCAGGAAGGAGACACCUCCUACAUAUUUUUUUCUAAUCUAAAUUCCUGAACAUCUAACCAGAAUAAUCAGCACAAAUUUCUCUCUAGACUGAUGUUAGAGGCACAAGCCUCGCGACAAAAGGGGCCAUCUACAUCUCUCUCAAACUGAUUACGUGCUUUGAAAAGUGAAUGCAAAAGGGGAAAGAUUUUUUUUUAACAAGGCAGCUAAGGCACAGCUCUGCUGAGGAGCAGCUGCCUCCCAGACCUCAGUGCUGCACAUCUUCUGUGGCAUCACUGACCCCUGAUACAGGAAGGAAGAACUGGGAUUUUUUUGUUGUUUUCCUGUUCCACUGGGCUACACCCAUUUGUAACCAUAUUUAACCUUUCUUUUUCUAGCUGCCAAUGCCGGGUGGCACUGGGUAACUCCUGACAUUUUAUAAAGUCUAUUCUAAAACCUGAAUCACACCAUCUUGGCUCCACGCUGUCCUGACAACAAAUGGUUAUGUUUGAGAAGCUUUUGAUUGCGUGGUUGUUGCAGUAGGAACAUCUGAGUCACGUGGUGCAUUUUGUACCUUAGUUUGUUAGAUUGUUAGAGUGCUUUUGGAACUCUGGCCCCACAGGUUUGACAAAGAUUCAGUGCAGUAUUGGGCUUUAAAGCCAAAUUUCUUGUAGUGAGGUAAGAAUGUAGAAAUACUUUAAAGUAAAUGUGCUGUAUGCUAGAGAAUUAAACAGAUGUCACAAAAUGGCUGAAGUUGGAAGGCAUCUCUGGAAAGCAUCUAACCCAAGCCCCA
rnacentral:lncRNA from 1 species